rnacentral:sRNA from 1 species
AACCUAACCCUGUUAAAAUUAUUAGCAGGUAUGGUUAAAAAACCUUACGAAUAAAAACGGCUUCAUUAGUCGGUCCUAUUCGUAAGGUCUGCUUGGGAAACUUUGCAGGAUGCUCGUAAGAGUAUC